rnacentral:rRNA from 1 species
AUGCACGCUGACAGAAUGCUUAACACAUGCCAGUCAACUUGAAUUUGGGUUUUUAACUUAGGUUUGGGUGGCGGACGGGUGAGUAACGCGUAAAGAACUUGCCUCACAGCUAGGGACAACAUUUGGAAACGAAUGCUAAUACCUAAUAUUAUGAUAAUAGGGCAUCCUAUAAUUAUGAAAGCUAUAAGCGCUGUGAGAGAGCUUUGCGUCCCAUUAGCUAGUUGGAGAGGUAACGGCUCACCAAGGCGAUGAUGGGUAGCCGGCCUGAGAGGGUGAUCGGCCACAAGGGGACUGAGACACGGCCCUUACUCCUACGGGAGGCAGCAGUGGGGAAUAUUGGACAAUGGACCAAGAGUCUGAUCCAGCAAUUCUGUGUGCACGAUGAAGUUUUUCGGAAUGUAAAGUGCUUUCAGUUGGGAAGAAAGAAAUGACGGUACCAACAGAAGAAGUGACGGCUAAAUACGUG